rnacentral:lncRNA from 1 species
GCGAUCGAGAACCAUGAGAGGUCUCAUCGAAGCCUGAGCGGUCUUUCCCCUUCCUUCCUCGUCGAAGCCGAAAGCUCUCGUUGUUUUCUUUCGCCUGGGGUUUCAAGGUUAGGAUCUUGAUUCGGAGAUCGCGAUGACCGGAAGCGAAGCGAUCGCGCGAUUAGGGUUUCGGGAUGGGAUGGAGAGCAGCCGGCGCAUGAAGCGGGGGGCCGUAGAUGAUGGUGCGGGAGACGCAGCGACUGCGCCUAUUCGAAGCCCCUGGCGUUCUUGGGCGUUGCUGUUGGGGUCUCGAUCUUGAGGCGGGAUGAGACCCUGAGGGAGAUGUUCUUGACGAGGAAGAGGGUGGAAGUGGAAGGAGCUCAGGCUCGAAUUGACCAAGGGAGGUGGGAGAAGCUGCGGAAAAGUACCAAGAUGAAGAUAGUACCAGGUAAGGAUUCUGAAUGUUAGCUUUCACUAAUUCUCCUUCCGAAUGCUAAAGCCUAACUGCGAUCUUCUGUCACUAAUCUUCCCUCAGAAUGGUAACAAAAUAUUGCAAGUUCUUGCUAUGAACACUCGUGUAGAAUUAUUAUUACGGUUCACUAGUUUUCUUUUGGCUUUUGAACACAUCAUGUGCCUACUUAAUUUACAGUCGAUCUGCCUUCCUUUGCAAUGUUGACAAAACAGCACAACUGUACGCCUUCUUGUUAUUCACAUGCAUAUAGAAUCACUGUUCACCGUCAUUGUUGAACAAAUAUUGUGAUUGUUGAAGAAAUACCAUGAUUCUUGAAAAAUUUUGUGAUAUUUUGAACAAAUACUGUGAUUCUUGAACAAAUUACCAUGUUUCUUGAACAGAUAUCCAUGAUUCUUGAACAAAUUCUCAUGUCAGUAAUUAUCUUGAGCUAUGUGACCGAUUGGCCUGUCUAUUUGUACUUGGAGAGAUAAUCAUUAGAUAUCAGUUGGUUUUCUUACCUUCUUUCAUGAUGUUAAUGGGCUUUCUUUUAGUGUGUUAGAUUUAGUUUAACUGUACGCUGGGGAGAUUGUUCAGGACAUAUGCAUUAUUUGAUUUGACAACAUCACAUGGUCUUUUAUCAUAAAGAACAUUUUGUUUAUACCACUUGAUAAAGGAUAUUUUGGUACCACCCAACUGGCAACCACCUCAGAUCACACGUGGCGUCACUCCAGUCAAAGUAAUGCACAUAUCUCAAUGCAGUGUGAAACGACACAGAUUGAUUCAAGAACGGUUGCAUCCUGAAGCGACGCAGCCCAGCUCAGAAGCGAUGCUGCCUCGCUUUGAAGCGACACGCAGCAAAUCCACGCCGUUCGGAAUCAAGCGAUGCUUGCCAACGAUGAUAUAACCCCGCAAGGCAUGGGGUCGAGAGGAUGGCCUUG